rnacentral:rRNA from 1 species
AUUGAACGCUGGCGGCAGGCCUAACACAUGCAAGUCGAGCGGAUGAAGGGAGCUUGCUCCUGGAUUCAGCGGCGGACGGGUGAGUAAUGCCUAGGAAUCUGCCUGGUAGUGGGGGAUAACGUCCGGAAACGGGCGCUAAUACCGCAUACGUCCUGAGGGAGAAAGUGGGGGAUCUUCGGACCUCACGCUAUCAGAUGAGCCUAGGUCGGAUUAGCUAGAUGGUGGGGUAAAGGCCUACCAAGGCGGCGAUCCGUAACUGGUCUGAGAGGAUGAUCAGUCACACUGGAACUGAGACACGGUCCAGACUCCUACGGGAGGCAGCAGUGGGGAAUAUUGGACAAUGGGCGAAAGCCUGAUCCAGCCAUGCCGCGUGUGUGAAGAAGGUCUUCGGAUUGUAAAGCACUUUAAGUUGGGAGGAAGGGCAGUAAGUUAAUACCUUGCUGUUUUGACGUUACCAACAGAAUAAGCACCGGCUAACUUCGUG